GAUGAACGCUGGCGGCGUGCCUAAUACAUGCAAGUCGAGCGAACAGAUGAGGAGCUUGCUCCUCUGACGUUAGCGGCGGACGGGUGAGUAACACGUGGAUAACCUACCUAUAAGACUGGGAUAACUUCGGGAAACCGGAGCUAAUACCGGAUAAUAUAUUGAACCGCAUGGUUCAAUAGUGAAAGACGGUUUUGCUGUCACUUAUAGAUGGAUCCGCGCCGCAUUAGCUAGUUGGUAGGGUAACGGCUUACCAAGGCAACGAUGCGUAGCCGACCUGAGAGGAUGAUCGGCCACACUGGAACUGAGACACGGUCCAGACUCCUACGGGAGGCAGCAGUAGGGAAUCUUCCGCAAUGGGCGAAAGCCUGACGGAGCAACGCCGCGUGAGUGAUGAAGGUCUUCGGAUCGUAAAACUCUGUUAUUAGGGAAGAACAAAUGUGUAAGUAACUAUGCACGUCUUGACGGUACCUAAUCAGAAAGCCACGGCUAACUACGUG
rnacentral:rRNA from 1 species